AACUUUACUCAUCCACCGAGAGAGAAAGAAAGAGAGAGCCUCCGGCGAGUAAAGAAUGCGGCUGCAGGAGCUAAAUGAACGGGGAUUCAUCAGAUCGGGGAGGAGAGGAGUGUCGCUGGUCGGGAAAGGAAGAGGAGAAGCGAGGAAGAAAGCCGUCCCUGCUUUCCGUCUUGGCCUCCGCCGGCGACUCUGCCCAAAAACGACAUUUCUCACUUCAGCAGGGGCUAACCUCUCGUCCCGUCUAGUAUCAGAGCCAAAGGGUAGUGGGAAGUGGUGUUCAGAAUGGUGUUCAGAGCCAAAACAACAAAGAAGAAAAUAAGAAAUUUUUUUUUAUUGUAACACCGGAAGCACUGUAGUAAUCCGGCAAGUUACUGUGCAAAUAUGACAACAAAAAACAAACGAUGUACUGUAGCGCGCACUGUAAUAGUACUGUAGCAAAUACUGUAGCAGGUACUAUGGCAACACGAAAAUUUUGCUAUAAAUAUUCCUCAAAUCCAACACAAUAGAUACACCAUUUUGGACACCAUUCUUACAUCAUUUUUCAAACUUUUCCUUCUCUGUAAACUUGAAGAAAUUCUCCUCUCACUCUCUACAAACUAGUUUUAUUUUAAUUUUUGGAAUCAAACAAGGGAGCGAGCCUUGCAAACUUCCCAAACAUUGUAAAUUUUUUUACAAACUCUUAUUCAAUCUUAUUCAAUCAAAUGGUCAACUGAGCCGCCUCAUAUUCAUAUUCAUUUACUUGUUUUAUUUAUUUUGAUUAUACUAACAUUCUGAAGGCUUGAUAACCUGUAGAAUUUGGGCACUAGAAUGAGUAUUGAUGUGUUUUUUGAUUUUUUCAGAAAAUAUUGAACAGCUCUUCAAACACUUAAAUACUUUCGUGCAUGUUACCCAGAAAAAUGGUAUGGUUGUAUCCCAAAAGAAAAUCAGCCUUUUUCAAAACCAAUAUUCUUAUCUUUUCUAUUUUUUGAAAACAAACAAGUAUGAUUUUCCAACAUGGUUUGUAGCAUGGUGGAAAGCACUUGGAUCUAAUAUGGAAAUUCUUCCUCCAGAUAUCCAACAAAGUUACAAAUUAUUCAUAGAUAGAUUUGAACUCCCAAACAACUAUAUACCAAUCAGUCUGUACUUCUUUUCCAUAUUCUCGGUAACAUGAGUCUACCAGUGAAAAUACGAAUACAUACAGCAAACACAACACCCUCCAUUAUUAGUCCGACAAGGAUAUUCAAAAUGGUGGCCAACAUUCAAUAAAAAUUUCAUUCAACCAGCAAACAUCUAGGCAUGGUUUCAGAAGAAUCCUCGCUCAAUAAAAUCUGGAGACAGUCAAACAAGCCAGUUUUUGCAGCAGAAAUUUAUCUCAGCAGUCAAGCUGGUAUCAAUCACUGAUAAACAAGAGUAUAUCAAACGAUUUAAGAUAUACUUCUACAACUGGAUCAAUCAAAAGAAACUUUAAACAAAGAGAAGGCCUCCAGUUCUGGAAAAAAACUUGAUGAAUAUGAAGGCCCAAAAAAUGAAGAUAAUUGUUAUGAAAUUUUCUCACAAAUUUCACAAGGUCACAAAACAAUAAAGAAGAAAAUAAGAAAAAUAUUUUUACUAUAGCACCGGAAGCACUGUAGUAGUCCGGCAAGUUACUGUGCAAGCACGGUAACAAAAGACAAACGAUGUACUGUAGCGCGCACUGUAGCAGUACUGUAGCAAAACACUGUAUUGGAUACUGUAGCAACACGAAAAUUUUGCUAUAAAUACCCAUCAAAUCCAACACAACAGACACCAUUCUUACAUCAUUCUUCAAUCUUUUCCUUCUCUCUGAACUUGAAGAAAUUCUUCUCUCUCUCUCUACAAACUAGUUUUAUUUUAGUUUUUGGAAUCAAACAAGGGAACGAGCCUUGCAAGCUUCCCAAACAUUGUAAGUUUUCUUACAAACUCUUAUUCAAUCUUAUUCAAUCAAAUGGUCGAUUGAGUCGCCUCAUAUUUAUAUUCAUUUACCUGUUUUAUUUACUUUGAUUAUACUAACAUUCUGAAGGCUUGAUAACAUGUAGAAUUUGGGCACUAGAAUAAGUAUUGAUGUAUUUUUCGAUUUUUUCAGUAAAUAUUGAACAGCACUUCAAACACCUAAAUACUUUAGUGCAUGUUGUCCAGAAAAAUGGUAUGGUUGUAUCCCCAAAGAAAAUCAGCCUUUUUCAAAUGAAUUAAACCAAUAUUCUUAUCUUUUCUAUUUUUUGAAAACAAACAAGUAUGAUUUUCCAACAUGGUUUGUAGUAUGGUGGAAAGCACUUAGAUCUAAUCUGGAAAUUUUUCCUCCAGAUAUCCAACAAAGUUACAAAUUAUUCAUAGAUAGAUUUGAACUCCCAAACAACUAUAUACCAAUCAGUCUGCACUUCUUUUCCAUAUUCUCGGUAACAUAAGUCUACCAGUAGAAAUACGAAUACAUACAGCAAACAUAACUCCCUCCAUUAUUAGUCCGACAAGGAUAUUCAAAAUGGUGGCCAACAUUCAAUAAAAAUUUCAUUCAACCAGCAAAUAUCCAGGCAUGGUUUCAGAAGAAUCCUCGCUCAAUAAAAUCUGGAGACAGUCAAACAAGUCAGUUUUUGCAGCAAAAAUUUAUCGCAGCAGUCAAGCUGGUAUCAAUCACUGAUAAACAAGAGUAUAUCAAAUGAUUUAAAGAUAUACUUCUACAACUGAAUCAAUCAAAAGAAACUUUAAACAAAGAGAAGGCCUCCAGUUCUGGAACAAAACUUGAUGAAUAUGAAGGUCUAGAAAAUGAAGAUAAUUGUUAUGAAAUUUUCUCACAAAUUUCACAAGAUCACAAAACAAUAAAGAAGAAAAUAAGAAAAA